GACGCGCCCGUCGAAAGUAUAAAGUAUCGUGAUUUUAGUAAAUGCGUAAAAUUACGAUUUAUUUAAUACUUAACUUAAUAAUUGUACAGAAUAAGUUCAGAAAUAAAAAAUGUCCUCCAAUCGAGAGGUUGUGUCCUUACAGUUUGGCAACUACGCGAACUACAUUGGAGCACAUUGGUGGAAUAUUCAGGAGUCCAGUUUCAAUUAUAAUCCUGAUCACGGUCCUUCUGAAAUAAAUCAUGACGUGUUAUACAGGGAAGGAGUAAAUUUGAACAAGCAAGUUACUUACACUCCACGUUUACUACUUGUAGAUUUGGAUGGUUCCCUAAAGCAUCUACCACGGGAGGGUGAACUUUAUGGCAAUAGUAUUAAACGUACACCACACAGCGAUGCUAAUAGCGAAGAUGCUGUAAAGAAAAUCAAAGAAGACCUCCAAAAUAUGAGCACAGACUUAGAAGUCGUGCAGCAGCCGCAAGCUCCGAAGCACGAGUUUCAGAAAGAUCUCGAAAAUCCUGUUGUCAAUAUUCAAGAAAAGGAGUACAAUUUAACAGACGAUGUAGAAACAUGGACAGACUAUCUUUAUGCACGCUACCACCCACGCACUGUAAAUGUAGUCAACGAAUAUAAACAUGAUGCAGAGAAGCAAACAUUUGAUACAUUUGCUUCUGGUGUACAGCUUUGGAAAACAGAAAAGUUCGAGGACGAAUUUUGUGAUAAAAUACGCCAAUACGUAGAGGAAUGUGACUUUUUGCAGGGAUUCCAAACUUUAUUUGACUGCUUCAAUGGGUUCUCGGGAUUAGCCACAGAAUGUCUAGAGCACCUGAAUGAUGAGUAUGGCAAAGCCAAUUUUGCGAUUCCAGUGUACUCACCUCGAAAUACGCUAUUUAAAAAUGCUGAUGCGGCUAUGACAGACUCCAUAAGGGUAGUAAACAGCGCAUUGACGUUCCACAAAUUAAGCGAGCAAGCAUCGUUGUUUGUGCCGCUGGGGACAUGUGACCGCGUUUGGCGACAGUUUGGCGCAGCACGUCAGCUACCGGCACUUAAUUAUCAAGCAGAUAAUUUGUAUCAAACUUCUGCCGUGCUAGCCGCAUACUUAGACACAAUCUCGCUACGUUAUCGUUUGCGCAAUGCGCCUGGCGCAUACUCGCUUCCUGCUUUUUGUGGUGAUCUAAAUAAUUAUGGACGUAAAUUGGCUGCUGCCGCUUUUGCGUUGCCUUUCGCCAUGCAGCAUGACCAAUACUUAAUUGAUUGCUUGGACAAGUUUGAAGGUCCAAUAUUCACAUCACUCACACCAAAUUGCAGCAUUGGCACUGAUUAUAUUAUACAGUCACUCUGUGUGCGUGGUAUACCGCGCGAACGUCUCAAGCGACCAUUGGAGAAGGCGAAAGAGCAAAUGCGCAUGGCAGCUUAUAAGUGCGAUAGUGUGUCCGAAAUGUUUCAACUAUACCUGCAGUGUGCAAAUCAUGCGAGUAUGGCGCAUGUUGCAUCAAUAUCGAUGGCCAUGCCAACGCGUAUACCAUUUCCAAGUGAAAUAUUCGCUGAAGACGUAACGAAAUUAGGCUUUCUCUCAGCGACAACAAAACGGCAAACCGAUGAAAAAGUGAUCUCUGUGCCGACGCUAGCAGCAGUACAGUCGUCCAGUGAGUUAGGCGAGACUUUAGAAACACUGUACCGCGAAGCAAAACGCGUAAAAAUAGCAAAAUUGCAUCGCUAUAAAGCGGCAGGCUUGGAGCAAGAUGAGUAUGCGGAAGCGCUCGAGCAGUUACUGCUCUUCAAAGACAAUUAUGAAGAUAACUUUGAAUUGUAGCACAAGCAUGAAAACAUUAUAACACAAAAUUUAAACAGUAAUUGGUUUGAUGUUAAAUUCAGAACCCGAAAAACGGAAUCAACUAGUUUUACAUAUAGUGCACUAAAAAUAUUGAGACUAAGCUAGUUACAAUUACAAUACAAUAGCCAUAAAAUAACAAAUAAAAGUGCUUACGGCUAAGAACUGCAUGUG
rnacentral:misc_RNA from 1 species